AACGAACGCUGGCGGCAUGCCUAACACAUGCAAGUCGAACGACACCUUCGGAUCAAGUGGCGCAUGGGUGCGUAACGCGUGGGAACCUGCCCUUAGGCUCGGGAUAACUCCCCGUAGGGGGUGCUAAUACCGGAUAACGUCCUCUGAUCAAAGAUUCAUCGCCUUUGGAUGGGCCCGCGUUGGUUUAACUAGUUGGUAGUGUAAAAGCCUAUCAAGGCGUCGAUACAUAGCUGGGCUGAGAGGAUGGGCCGCCACACUGGGACUGAGACGCGGCGGAGACUAGUAGGCGAGGGAGCAGUGGGGAAUAUUGGACAAUGGGGGGAGUGCUGAUCCAGCAAUGCCGGGAGAGUCAUGAUGUCGUUAGAGAUGUAAAGCACGUUUACCCGGGAUGAUAAUGACAGUACCGAGAGAAUAAGCACCGGCUAACUUCGUG
rnacentral:rRNA from 1 species